UCAUUUUGUCAUAUUGGUGCCACAUUUAUACUUGGCAAUUUGUGAUUGGAUGGUUGAAAAAUGCUUUUGACACUACUGUCAAUGAAAUCCUGCCGAUUGUGUUCGUAGAAUGAAAUGUUUGUCAAAGAGUAUGAAUAUAUUGUAGAAAGGGCAAAUGAGCAGCUACUUGUUGAAGUUAUCUCUUUGGAGGAGAUUCUUGUAAAUCCUGAGACUGGACUGAUUAUCAUUUACACUAUUGUUAAUAGAGAAUAAUUCUAAUGAGGAAGAUGUUACUAUUGAAGAUGAAAAGAAUAACCUUGUUAAGGGUCAGCUACAUAUCUAAUUCAUGAGGAAGAAGAUUUUUUUUAUUUUUUUAUUUUUUGUUUUUGGGUAAGUGCAUGAUAGCAUAUUUGCAAUACUCUUUUUAAGUAUAGAUGUAACCUACUUAGUCAA